UUUUUUUUGUUAUAGCUUAUUUUAUUGGAUAUAAUGUUGCUGAAAGUUGUGGACAAAAUGAUACUCGUCAAUUAUGUCCUAGUCACAGUUUAUUCCUGAAUUUGUUUUACUUACUGGGGCUGUAGUUAUAUUAGUUUUCCAUGAAGAGAAAUCAUUGUUGUAGGUACAGAUCAAAGUUAAAAUGACGGGUAAGAUUUUAUUAUUAUUAAAUUUGCUCUUCUACUUCAUUAAUAGUAAUAGAUUCUCCUGUUUUAAUUAUGAAUUUAUUCCUUUAUGAUUUGGUCACAGGAAAAUGUAAAACAAAAUCAAGCUUAUGUACAGUCUUCUGAUAUAUACUUCUCAUUACUUGAAGCUUGCUUGUAUGAUCGAACUACAAUAGUGUGAUACGGGGUCCAUCAUAUCCUCCUGGCUCCAGCUAUCAUAGGGGACAAGGUAUUUGGUGUGAUACCCUUGGGCUUACAUUUCGACCAAGUAGUUUCGGUUGACAUAUCAUUGUCGAUUGGUGAAGGUAAAUGCCUUAGCUUAUCUUUUCCCUACUUCUCCGCAGGCACUUACAUUUUCGUUUUUGGAUUUAGAUAAUGUUAAUAAUGGAACUGUUGUAGGUCUCUAGCUUCCUAGCUGGAGGUGGUCCAAUUGAAAUUCAACAUGCUUAUAUGAAACCAUUUUUAUUGGCUUAUGUUAACUAAAUGCAAUAAAUUCAGUAUUUUCAUUAAGAUUGCUUGCAAAUUGGCAGAAAUCGAUUGCAUGCUAUUUCUUCUGCAUCUUCAAUAUUUAUUUUGUAAGUAUGUGUGGUAAACUACAUAAUUGCACAUUGGACUAAAUAAAUCACAAAAUAACCAAGAAGCGCUGCUGCUAUGAUUUCACCAAUAUGUGUGUAACGAACAGUUGAAGGGUUGAAGUUUGUUAUGAUUAUAAAGUAUGCAAUACUAAAGCUUAAUGUUAUAUCACUGUGACUUAUGAUUCCACAUUGUAGGGUUUUUAAGUUUCCACCCUAUUACUUUCUGUCAUUCAUCCAUUAUCAUACUUCUGCUUGGUUCGUGUUACUUCUCAUUUUUGCUUGAUUAGAAUAAACAAAUGCUAGGAUUUCUUGGUUUCUAAGAUUGAAGCUGUUUCUGUGGUUAGACACCAUGUGUUUCUCAAAUGUUCAGCUCUAUGCACAGAUACAAGACAGAUGCCCUAGUUGCAUAGCACAAAGGCCUAUACUAGAUUAAGUGCCUACUAACCCUUCCUGUCUUCUCUAGUUCCAUGGGUGUGUGGUGGGCUACUACGCUUUGCCGCCUAAUCGUGGCAGAGUGCAUGACACCAAACUUAUUUUGGAUAAGAAUGCUUCCACCACAAUUUAGUCGAGAAGUGAGGGGAAAAGAGUAUGACAGGCAGAUUUUAUGGCUAGGAAAGUACGGCACACCACAACUUUGAUGGUGAACCAAGGGCAUACCAUGGAAAGUAAAAUUUGGCAGUGAAUCAAACAGGCUCUAUUGGCAUGAUAAAUCAGCACCAAAGUGGUACUGUAACAGUGUCGUUAACAGUCACUGAUGACAGCGCUAAUUCAGGCGAUGAAGUUGUGGAUCAGAGCCGGGGACCCAGAUUUAUCAGCCUUUGAGCACCGUUCCGAUCAAUGCCCUAGCUAAGGGAAUUACAAAAUCCGCCUUAUGGAAGUGGUUAGAAACCAUCCUUCAUGUCCCCAUCUUGAUCGUCCAAUCCAUGCUUUCCAUUUAUCUCACGCGAUCUCUUUUGGAUCAAAAGCUGGAUGUGACUAUUCUAUUCUUAAGCCAUGGUGAUAUCAGAUUUAUUGUGGUACAGUGGCGAUUGUACGAUUCGUGCAGAAUCAGGAGGAACAUAGUGGACUGGACAGAGAUAGACAGCUACAAGCAGUGCCAUGCUGACUCGGACGUGCACUGCGUUGUCCGCCUAUCUGCAAAGCUGCAGCUCCAGGCGAUUCAGUAGCUGGGAAAUUCACAUGAAACAGGAUACAAUUUUCCGCAUACAGCAAUUCAGCUGUUUUGCCUUUUUUUUUGACGGAACUGUUUUGCUUUUUUUGACCUUAUUUAUCUUUCUUUUUUGAGGAAUUGGCAGCUCUAUGCCUAUAUAUUAAGAGGGAUGUAAAGGUAAAUAAGGUCUGUCACAAGAUGAUCUGUAAGCAAUCAGAAAUUGCCACAGGUUUUUUCGAAAGUGAGAUGCCGGUGUGGUGCAGGCAUUGCAAGUUUGCAAGCAGCGAAAGACCCCACCACUCCUCUCCACUGGGCUAAGAGAGGGGCGGCUGGAGCAUGAUCCUUUCCUCGCCUGCCGGCUGUCCGUCCAUCCAUCAGACAGCCGGCACGACGGUGGCGGUUGUUGCUGAUAGGCCAUCCCUCGUGGGGGCUGUCCAUUCUGGUUUUGGUGUCUAGCUUGGCUUUCAUCAGAUGAGGGCCAUGUCGCGCAACACAGCCAUCCCAUCUCUGUGUUUUUAUCUUUCCAGUUUGCUUGGGUGCUGGUGGAAUGAAUACAUGAAACCAUCCAGGAAGACACCAGCUGCCUGCCAUAGUCGGCUGGGAGUGGGAGGGAGUCGGACCAGACGGAUCGAGGUACUUGCAAAUCUUGUCCUUCAUAGUAGAUAGAUAGCCAGUGGCUUUCAGCAGCUGUUCUAGCAGUGUCUUCUCCACAGCACACUAAACCACUUGUGUCAGUAGUAUCUUUGCAUUGUGGUCUUGUAGCAGUUGAUUAUGGUGUUGGAGGUGGAAAAAAGCUUCAGAUACACACUGUCAUGUUC
rnacentral:rRNA from 1 species